rnacentral:rRNA from 1 species
AACGAACGCUGGCGGCAGGCUUGACACAUGCAAGUCGAACGCAUCCUUCGGGGUGAGUGGCAGACGGGUGAGUAACGCGUGGGAACGUGCCCUUCAGUUCGGGAUAACCCAGGGAAACUUGGGCUAAUACCGGAUACGUGCGAGAGCAGAAAGAUUUAUCGCUGAAGGAUCGGCCCGCGUCUGAUUAGCUAGUUGGUGGGGUAAUGGCCCACCAAGGCGACGAUCAGUAGCUGGUCUGAGAGGAUGAUCAGCCACAUUGGGACUGAGACACGGCCCAAACUCCGACGGGAGGCAGAAGUGGGGAAGAGUGGACAAUGGGCGCAAGCGUGAUCCAGCCAUGCCGCGUGAGUGAUGAAGGCCUUAGGGUUGUAAAGCUCUUUCGUCCGGGACGAUAAUGACGGUACCGGAAGAAGAAGCCCCGGCUAACUUCGUGCCAGCCGCCGCCGUAA